rnacentral:rRNA from 1 species
AUUGAACGCUGGCGGCAGGCCUAACACAUGCAAGUCGAGCGGAGCGGCGGACGGGUGAGUAAUGCGUAUGAAUCUGCGUGGUCGUGGGGGAUUACGUCCGGUAAAGGGUGCUAAUAACGACUACUAUCCGUUGAGCAUAGGUCGGAUUAGCUAGUUGGUGGGGUAAAGGCCUACAUAGGCGACGAUCCGUAACUGGUCUGAGAGGAUGAUCAGUCACACUGGAACUGAGACACGGUCCAGACUCCGACGGGAGGCAGCAGUGGGGAAUAUUGGACAAUGGGCGAAAGCCUGAUCCAGCCAUGCCGCGUGUGUGAAGAAGGUCUUCGGAUUGUAAAGCACUUUAAGUUGGGAGGCGUUACCAACAGAAUAAGCACCGGCUAACUUCGUGCCAGCAGCCGCGGUAAUUC